AUGGCGGCGGAGGUCGAGGGUACCCAGAAGCGCGGGGCGGCGGCCUUCCUGGAGGACCCCUUCGAGGUGCUGCAGGCGAAGCGGGGCCGGUGCUCGCCGUCCGCCGCUGCGGCCGCGGUAGCCGACCUCGGCAUCAACAUGGAGUUCGACCCCAUCGAGGCACUCCAGUCCGUCUUCCCCGGCGCCGAUCCGCAGGAUCGCCUGCGCUCCCGCCACUUUGAAUUCUUCUCACAUAUGAUGGCUAAAUUUAGGAUUCAGAAGUAA
rnacentral:rRNA from 1 species